rnacentral:rRNA from 1 species
AGAGUUUUAUCCUGGCUCAGGAUGAACGCUGGCGGCGUGCUUAACACAUGCAAGUCGAACGGAACUUAUACGAUAGAGGAUUCGUCCAAUUGACUAUAAGUUUAGUGGCGGACGGGUGAGUAACGCGUGAGGAACCUGCCUUGGAGUGGGGAAUAACACAGAGAAAUUUGUGCUAAUACCGCAUAAUGCAGUUGAGUCGCAUGGCUCUGACUGCCAAAGAUUUAUCGCUCUAAGAUGGCCUCGCGUCUGAUUAGAUAGUUGGUGAGGUAACGGCUCACCAAGUCGACGAUCAGUAGCCGGACUGAGAGGUUGGCCGGCCACAUUGGGACUGAGACACGGCCCAGACUCCUACGGGAGGCAGCAGUGGGGAAUAUUGGGCAAUGGGCGCAAGCCUGACCCAGCAACGCCGCGUGAAGGAAGAAGGCUUUCGGGUUGUAAACUUCUUUUAACAGGGACGAAUAAAUGACGGUACCUGUUGAAUAAGCCACGGCUAACUACGUGCCAGCAGCCGCGGUAAUACGUAGGUGGCAAGCGUUAUCCGGAUUUACUGGGUGUAAAGGGCGUGUAGGCGGGACUGCAAGUCAGAUGUGAAAACUCGGGGCUCAACCCCGAGCCUGCAUUUGAAACUGUAGUUCUUGAGUGUCGGAGAGGCAAUCGGAAUUCCGUGUGUAGCGGUGAAAUGCGUAGAUAUACGGAGGAACACCAGUGGCGAAGGCGGAUUGCUGGACGAUAACUGACGCUGAGGCGCGAAAGCGUGGGGAGCAAACAGGAUUAGAUACCCUGGUAGUCCACGCUGUAAACGAUGGAUACUAGGUGUGGGGGGACUGACCCCCUCCGUGCCGCAGUUAACACAAUAAGUAUCCCACCUGGGGAGUACGAUCGCAAGGUUGAAACUCAAAGGAAUUGACGGGGGCCCGCACAAGCGGCGGAGCAUGCGGAUUAAUUCGAUGCAACGCGAAGAACCUUACCAAGGCUUGACAUGAACCGGAAAGGCCUGGAAACAGGUCCCCCACUUGUGGCCGGUUUACAGGUGGUGCAUGGUUGUCGUCAGCUCGUGUCGUGAGAUGUUGGGUUAAGUCCCGCAACGAGCGCAACCCUCGUUCUAUGUUGCCAGCGCGUUAUGGCGGGGACUCAUAGGAGACUGCCGGGGUCAACUCGGAGGAAGGUGGGGACGACGUCAAAUCAUCAUGCCCCUUAUGUCUUGGGCUUCACGCAUGCUACAAUGGCCGGUACAAAGGGUUGCGAUACUGUGAGGUGGAGCUAAUCCCAAAAAGCCGGUCUCAGUUCGGAUUGAGGUCUGCAACUCGACCUCAUGAAGUUGGAGUCGCUAGUAAUCGCAGAUCAGCAACGCUGCGGUGAAUACGUUCCCGGGCCUUGCACUCACCGCCCGUCA